rnacentral:rRNA from 1 species
AGCAGCCGCGGUAAUUCCAGCUCCAAUAGCGUAUAUUAAAGUUGUUGCAGUUAAAAAGCUCGUAGUUGAAUUUUAGGCCUGGCCGGGCGGUCCGUCUUUGGCGAGUACUGUCUUGUUGUCGGGUCUUCCUUCUGGUGAACCAGUAUGCCCUUAAUUGGGUGUGUUGGGGAGCCAGGACCAUUACCUUGAAAAAAUUAGAGUGUUUAAAGCGGGCUAUUGCUUGAAUAGAUUAGCAUGGAAUAAUAGAAUAGGACGUUGUGGUUCUAUUUUGUUGGUUUCUAGGACCACCGUAAUGAUUAAUAGGGAUAGUUGGGGGCAUUGGUAUUCAAUUGUCAGAGGUGAAAUUCUUGGAUUUAUUGAAGACUAACUACUGCGAAAGCAUUUGCCAAGGAUGUUUUCAUUAAUCAAGAACGAAAGUUAGGGGAUCGAAGACGAUCAGAUACCGUCGUAGUCUUAACCAUAAACUAUGCCGACUAGGAAUCGGGCGACGUUAUUUUAAUGACUCG